CCUACGGGUGGCAGCAGUAGGGAAUAUUGCUCAAUGGGGGAAACCCUGAAGCAGCAACGCCGCGUGGAGGAUGAAGGUUUUCGGAUUGUAAACCUCUUUCGUCAGAGAAGAAAAUGACGGUACCUAAUGAAUAAGCACCGGCUAACUCCGUGCCAGCAGCCGCGGUAAUACGGAGGGGGCAAGCGUUAUCCGGAUUUACUGGGGGUAAAGGGAGCGUAGACGGGAGAGCAAGUCUGAAGUGAAAUGCUAGGGCUUAACCCUAGAACUGCAUUUGAAACUGUUAAGCUAGAGUGUAGGAGAGGUAGGUGGAAUUCUUGGUGUAGCGGUGAAAUGCGUAGAGAUCAGGAGGAAUACUAGUUGCGAAGGCGGCCUACUGGAACGUAACUGACGCUGAGGCGCGAAAGCGUGGGGAGCAAACAGGAUUAGAUACCCGUGUAGUC
rnacentral:rRNA from 1 species